rnacentral:rRNA from 1 species
GGAUCAAUAUGUUGGUCUUGCUUUGGUACGUACUAGUUUAUUGGUUUCUUCCUUCUGACGAACCAUGAUGCCAUUAAUUUGGUGUUGCGGGGAAUUUGGACUGUUACUUUGAAAAAAUUAGAGUGUUUAAAGCAAGCUAACGCUUGAAUACAUUAGCAUGGAAUAAUGAAAUAGGACGUUUGAUUCUAUUUUGUUGGUUUCUAGGAUUGACGUA